UAAUUUUUUAUCACCUAUUUAUCAUCUGUUUAUCUUUAUUUAUUUAUAUUUCCAUAUCUAUAUUCGAUAAAACAUGAUCCCCAAAUAUUUUGGGGAUUUACGCUCCGGUACCGGAUUCUCUCAUCCUACGGCCGCACUUUGAAGCUAUUCCCUUUCCCUAAGUUUUCUUGAUGUCUGGCUGAUUUGGAGGAUUAAAACAACAUACAGUCCAUUUUUCGUUAGUAACAAUGUUUACUUGAAACAAAGUUAAUAUCUUAUCAAGUUAACAGUCAGUAACAGAUAUAAGAAAUGCCCCCGGACAUGUGCGGGCGAUCCAAAUGGUUCGCUGUUGAGCACAGAAUACUGUUGCACGGGAAGCCAUUCCAUUGUCAUAAUCAAAAAAAGUCGUUGCAUUCUACCUCAUGACCACGACAUUCAACAUUGGGGGAUUCUAUUGCAAGAUCGAUGAACCAGGGACUUCUACAACGACUAUUAACAUCCUACGCUGAAGUUGUCACGAGUAUUUGCCUCAAUUGUACACACAAAUGCAUUUGACAACCUUGUCUCAAUUAACACUUCAAUAUCACAUUACGAUGGUUUUCUUCUAAACGCGUAGGUACCUACUUUCGCUUUCACAAUAAUAUAGGUUAAGCAAAUAUUGGCAGGUUGACAAUGAGCAAACAAAUGUGACAUUGAUUUUGUUAUUGGUUUAAGGUGAGUUGCACCAACCGAUUUUGACUAUCCUGUGGCCGUAGAAUAGUGUAACACUCCAUAUCCUCCCGUGGAUGUCGUACGGGGCGACUAAGGGUUACAAUACCUUAACACCCUAUAGGAACCGACAGCAUUCCCAAUGAGGGUUGACGUCAAUCGGGCGGCCGGUUGUAAAAUCAUAGCUAAAUCUUUAAAAUUUAAUGGCAAUUCUUUUAUUUAACACCCUGGGCUUUGGCUGUGAAGCGUGUGUGUGACAGGCGAAGAUAACAGAGAGCAACAGACAAUUUUGACUGUCAACUUUUAGCCGGUACACCAUUUCGUUUAACCGUCAGCGGCGCACGGUUAAAGUCAACGUCACAGUUGACUGGUGCAACUCACGCAGCGGUGUACAUUUAGUGUUUGUUUACGUGGGUUAAUAGUAAUGAUUUGAUGAAUUAUGAACUCAUAGAUUAUUUCUGCCGAAUCCAGUUGUGUGAAAUUUUAAUGGUUUUCUGAAAUACCCAAUGUAAAUUCUUAGUAAUUAGAGUUUGAUAUUAAAAAUAUUAAUAAUCUACAUUACAAUUCAAGUUUGUAUGUGGAUGUUUAUAUAAUAAAAUGUAUUGGUGAAGAAAAACAUAUUAAAAUACUAACUCUAGUAACGUAUGAACCUCGAAAUAAUUCAAGGGUGUAUAUUAGAGUUGUCAACUAUCGAACAAUUCGGAUGACUAUCGAUAACUGAAACUAAUACAGUCGAUAGUUUCCUGAGUAAAAAUUACUAGUAAUAAAAAUUACUAUUCUCAUGUAGAAGUACUGUCGAUAUUUUCGAUCCACAAUAAUUACGGUCAUACUGUUUAAAUGGCUAUGUGGAUGUUUGUUACUAAAUAUCGCAAAGUAGGACAGAUUUCGAUAAAAUUUGGUGUAUGAUGUAGGAUUUAACA